rnacentral:rRNA from 1 species
UUCUUACGAUCCCUUCGGGGUGACGAGUUAUUGACUGAGUGGCGGACGGGUGAGUAACGCGUGGGUAACCUACCUUGUACAGGGGGACAACAGUUGGAAACGACUGCUAAUACCGCAUAAGCGCACAGCAUCGCAUGAUGCAGUGUGAAAAGUUUUUUCGGUACAAGAUGGACCCGCGUCUGAUUAGCUAGUUGGUGAGGUAACGGCCCACCAAGGCGACGAUCAGUAGCCGACCUGAGAGGGUGACCGGCCACAUUGGGACUGAGACACGGCCCAAACUCCUACGGGAGGCAGCAGUGGGGAAUAUUGCACAAUGGGCGCAAGCCUGAUGCAGCGACGCCGCGUGAGCGAAGAAGUAUUUCGGUAUGUAAAGCUCUAUCAGCAGGGAAGAUAAUGACGGUACCUGACUAAGAAGCACCGGCUAAAUACGUGCCAGCAGCCGCGGUAAUACGUAUGGUGCAAGCGUUAUCCGGAUUUACUGGGUGUAAAGGGAGCGUAGGCGGUUUUACAAGUCUGAUGUGAAAGCCCGGGGCUCAACUCCGGUAUUGCAUUGGAAACUGUAGAACUAGAGUGUCGGAGGGGUAAGUGGAAUUCCUAGUGUAGCGGUGAAAUGCGUAGAUAUUAGGAGGAACACCAGUGGCGAAGGCGGCUUACUGGACGAUUACUGACGCUGAGGCUCGAAAGCGUGGGGAGCAAACAGGAUUAGAUACCCUGGUAGUCCACGCCGUAAACGAUG